rnacentral:rRNA from 1 species
AACGAACGCUGGCGGCAUGCCUAACACAUGCAAGUCGAACGAAGUCCUUCGGGCGUUAGUGGCGCACGGGUGCGUAACGCGUGGGAAUCUGCCCUUGGGUUCGGAAUAACAGUUAGAAAUGACUGCUAAUACCGGAUGAUGUCUUCGGACCAAAGAUUUAUCGCCCAAGGAUGAGCCCGCGUAGGAUUAGGUAGUUGGUGGGGUAAAGGCCUACCAAGCCGACGAUCCUUAGCUGGUCUGAGAGGAUGAUCAGCCACACUGGGACUGAGACACGGCCCAGACUCCUACGGGAGGCAGCAGUGGGGAAUAUUGGACAAUGGGGGCGAACCCUGAUCCAGCAAUGCCGCGUGAGUGAUGAAGGCCUUAGGGUCGUAAAGCUCUUUUACCAGGGAUGAUAAUGACAGUACCUGGAGAAUAAGCUCCGGCUAACUCCGUG